rnacentral:rRNA from 1 species
UACGUAGGGAGCAAGCGUUGUUCGGAUUUACUGGGCGUAAAGGGCGCGUAGGCGGCGCGGUAAGUCACUUGUGAAAUCUCUGAGCUUAACUCAGAACGGCCAAGUGAUACUGCAGUGCUUGAGUGUGGAAGGGGCAAUCGGAAUUCCGGGUGUAGCGGUGAAAUGCGUAGAUAUCCGGAGGAACACCGGUGGCGAAGGCGGCUUCCUGGACCGAUCACUGACGCUGAGGCGCGAAAGCUAGGGGAGCAAACGGG